AGGGGAGAGUACGUCAUGAGAACGGGCCAUGAGACGCAGCUCUUGAACCGCAUCAAAGCCACCAUGAAAGAACUCAACCCCAGACAAACUGAAAAGUGUUUGAGGCUACUGAAGGAGUGCUUUGGCUUCCGUGACCUCAUUACUAUAUUCGACAUCAACGCAGACGAGGAUCUUGAUCGCCACAUUCUUUAUGCAUUGCUCACAACCCACCAAGGGGAAGGUCAAGCGUCUCUGCUGGACCAGCUCGGACUUGCUCUGCUCUGGGACCGGCCUGAUAUAGCAGAGAAUUCCAUUUUUCCGGG